UGUAGAGGCUGCUCUUGGGUUUCCCUCUGAAAUUCACUGAAAGAGGGGGCAACAGAACAGUCCUGAACA
ensembl:miRNA